rnacentral:rRNA from 1 species
UACGUAGGGUGCGAGCGUUAAUCGGAAUUACUGGGCGUAAAGCGUGCGCAGGCGGUUAUGCAAGUCAGAUGUGAAAUCCCCGGGCUCAACCUGGGAACUGCAUUUGUGACUGCAUCGCUGGAGUGCGGCAGAGGGGGAUGGAAUUCCGCGUGUAGCAGUGAAAUGCGUAGAUAUGCGGAGGAACACCGAUGGCGAAGGCAAUCCCCUGGGCCUGCACUGACGCUCAUGCACGAAAGCGUGGGGAGCAAACAGG